rnacentral:rRNA from 1 species
UAAUACAGAGGGUGCAAGCGUUAAUCGGAAUGACUGGGCGUAAAGGGCACGUAGGCGGAUAGAUGUGUCAUAGGUGAAAUCCCCGGGCUCAACCUGGGAACUGCCUGUGAAACUGUGUAUCUAGAAUAUAGGAGAGGGAAGUGGAAUUUCCGGUGUAGCGGUGAAAUGCGUAGAUAUCGGAAAGAACACCAGUGGCGAAGGCGACUUCCUGGCCUAAUAUUGACGCUGAGGUGCGAAAGCGUGGGGAGCAAACGGG